UGGGGAAUUUUGGACAAUGGGCGCAAGCCUGAUCCAGCCAUGCCGCGUGCGGGAAGAAGGCCUUCGGGUUGUAAACCGCUUUUGUCAGGGAAGAAAUCUUCUGAGUUAAUACCUCGGGAGGAUGACGAUACCUGAAGAAUAAGCACCGGCUAACUACGUGCCAGCAGCCGCGGUAAUACGUAGGGUGCAAGCGUUAAUCGGAAUUACUGGGCGUAAAGCGUGCGCAGGCGGUUUUGUAAGACAGAGGUGAAAUCCCCGGGCUCAACCUGGGAACUGCCUUUGUGACUGCAAGGCUUGAGUGCGGCAGAGGGGGAUGGAAUUCCGCGUGUAGCAGUGAAAUGCGUAGAUAUGCGGAGGAACACCGAUGGCGAAGGCAAUCCCCUGGGCCUGCACUGACGCUCAUGCACGAAAGCGUGGGGAGCAAACAGGAUUAGAUAGCCCUGGUAGUCCACGCCCUAAAACGAUGUCAACUGGUUGUUGGGAAGGUUCCUUCUCAGUAACGUAGCUAACGCGUGAAGUUGACCGCCAGGGGAGUACGGCCGCAA
rnacentral:rRNA from 1 species